GGUGUUCCAUCUUUGCAGGGCAUCCUUUGUGUGGCCCAGCCGCGAGACACUGCCUCGCUGGGGGAGGGUGCUUCUGCUUUAGGGAAAACACACUCUUAGAUCUGCUUUAGAGAAAAUAGCCCACCGAUGGCCAGCAAAGGAUGUUUCCUUUGGACACACUAGCCUACUGUUUGAACACUGUACUGUAGAAGGCACAGGCUGGGAUGCUGGGUCGACUGGGCACAGCUGUCUUUGUGACUGGCCGCAUUAUUGAUCCUUCUGAGCCUGUGUGCCACACUGGAAAGUUGGAUCUAAGAGUUAAGAUUUAUUGGUUUCAAA
rnacentral:lncRNA from 1 species